AUGAGCAGAAACUGGUACUCAGAAAUUUCCACCUGAAUAUAAGGAGGAACUUCUUUACUGUGAGAGUGACCAUUCAAUGAAACAGACUGCCCAGAGAGGCUGUGGAGUCUCCCUCGCCAGACAUGAGCAAGGACCAUCUGCACACAAUCCUGUGCCACGCGCUCUGGAAUGAACCUGCUUGAGCAGGGAGGUUGGACCUGGUGACUCGCUGUGGUUCCUUCCACAUUCUGUGAUCUGUGAAUAAAAUCUUAGAUUUCCUAAGUUUUGGGGGUUUUUUGGACCCCAAAGGCUCAAGACCUUAAAAGUUGUAAGAGUGGUGCUGUUGCUUUCUAUGCAGUGACUGAUAACAGCCGCUGGUUUCAUGUUUGCUCCCAGCCCUCGCCUGUGUUACCUGCUGGAAAUCCCGGUGCCAUCAGCUGAAGGAGGGAGUUUACCAAAAGGCUCCCUUCAGACACUGGAAGGCCACAAUUAGGUGUCUCUGAAGACUUCUCUUCUCCAAGCCAAAUAAUCAAAAUUUUCUCAGCAUUUCCUCAUAGGAGAGGUGCUCCAUCCCUCUGAUAUCUUGGUGGUCUCCUCUGAACUUGCUCCGACAGGUCCGUGUCUUUCCUGUGCUGGCGACCCCAGAGCUGGAUGCAGCACUGCAGCAUCACUGUUCUCUCUUCCUUGCCUGUAAUUAAAGGCUGACUUUGAAUGCUAAGGUGUGAGUCUCUCCAGAUGCUGAGGUGGAAUCUCGAGGAGUCUGAUAAUGAGCAACCAAAACACAGCAGGUAUUCCUAGCAAUGGAUUUGGGAGCCUUUGUUCUAUGCAAAGUCAAAAAUCUCCUGCAUGCCUUCAGAGAUCUACAUGCACAGACUCUGUAAAAGAAAGAGUACAUGGAAUUUCUCAGGGCAUGUCAGCUUUUAUGAAACUGAGCGUUUCUUCAGUAACAAGAGAAGCAAAUGGAAAAAGACAUGGCAGGAUAUUAUACUUGUCAAGUGGAAGAAAUAGCACAACUGUCUGCCACAAAGCCACCUCAGCCCCACGACUGCCUGUAUAGCUCAAAGAGAUAACUCAAACCAACAGUGCUUGAAAUGUUGAUGUACAGGAAAGACUCAACAAAUCUUCAGAGCAGAUUGUUUUGAAGUCCUGCCACCUAUUGGUUUAUCAGAGCACUGAUCAGGGCGGCUGGAUGUCUUCGUGUGAAACUACAAAGGAAAAUGGAUCUUACUGCAUCAAACCCCUAAGCAUAAGAAAUCUAACAAGAGAUGUUUCACUCUCGGACAGUGACCUUUGUCGCCUCCACUGCUUUAUUUCUGCCUGGUAUCCUUCAGGGCAAAAUAAGACAACCACCUGAGGAGAAGAGACUUGCAGCUACUGAGGGCUGGUCAGUAAACCAGCCCUCUGCUUUCCCUGCUGGUACCAAAGUAGCAUUGUACAGAAGAAGCAAUGAUCAACUUGUCACAGCUGCAACCAUAGACUGUAUAGAAUAAGGCAUCAUUGUCAACAAAGCUUGCCCUGACAGCUCAAUCAAGUUGUGUUAUGCUUAUUCAUGCAAAAGGGUUUGCAUGAAGAAGACAAAAUAUUUUAAGAAAAGAGCUUAAAAAAUAUAUCACCCACAAGAAACUCCCAAUUAGUUAACGGUUCUUUAAAUAUUGGGGAAACUGCUUAAUUCAGGAGCCUUGCUGUCUUCUGUUCAUUAUUUUGUGUACCCAAAAGAAUUCACUAAAGUGCACUCCACAUGAUGACAGUGUGACAAGGGCCAAUUUGUGAAUAACUUGUCAACAGCUUGAAUGAAACUCUAGAAAUCCAUAACAGGUGCUCGAUAGCUAUAAUCGAGUGACAGAUGGAUUAGAUACAUGAAACCACAACAAACUGACUGAAUGGGAGAGGGAGAGAGAACAAGGGUGAGAGUGGGGGAGGUUCAUUAACUAUAGAAGAGAGCAAAAAUACAUGAAUUAUUAAAGAAGCAGCAUGAGCCAAUUUGUGUGGAUGCUUCCUGCUCAUCUUCAGCAGCCCUGGGAAGAGGAGCUGCAAUGCCAGCUACUACACACAGCAGCAUUGGUCUAAUAUCUUGACUCUAGGCAGGGGUGUACCAGAGCUUGGCACUGGCCUUGAUUACAGAAAUCACUGUUAUAUUUCAGUACACACACAAGAGCUGAUUCAGCAGUGUACUUGAGUGCAGGCCUUGCUCUGAGCAUGUGAAUAGCACCAUUAUUAAGGUCAGCAGAACAACUGUGUUAACUCACAUGAACACAUUUAAGAGUCUUGCUGAAAUUUUGUUCUCUGUUGAGGGAUACAAAACACAAGGGAUGAACCCCAGCUAGUAUAAAUUGUUAGAAGCCCCCUGGGGACUGCUGACACAAGAGUGUUGAGUGCCUCUCAGGGGCACAAGCAAUGAUGGACCAACAUUUGUCUGCAGGCUUUAGUGGGGGGUUGCCAUCGCCCUGCAGGUCUGUUCCUGUGCCAGCAAACGCAGAGGGCCUCUUCCCAUAGCCAGAGGCUUCCUGCACCCACCCCCACCUUUCCCUGGUGGGGGACCCACAACACCAUCAGUGCUGGAGACCCCAUGUUUUAAGCAUCCAGAUCCACUGACAGGCACCCACUGACUACACACAACUUUGUUCCAUGUGUGUCAGAAUAUUAUAUUUAAUCUCAGCAGAGACACAUUCUACUUAGUCAGUGCCCAGCCUUUAUCUUCUACCUGGCUCUGACUGCAGACAGGAGGGGGGCUCCGGUUACCACUCCUCAUCUCUCUUCCUCUCCAAUGGCUUUUCCCUUAAAUUAAAUUUUUCACUUUAAAUUAAAUCUUCCAUUUUCUUAUUUUACUCCUGUGCACCCUGCUUAGUGCCACAGUCUCAGAUUUGCAGUUAUUCUAUCCAAACAAUGCUUUUCCACAGCUACAUAUUAAGGGAACAACCAAAACCUUGACAGCUGGUUUGCUUUUAUAGAGUGACGUAUCUUUUUUGUUCUGUCACAAAUCUUGUUGUGCCUAAUAUGUUCCCUCAGAGAAAAAAUUGUGACAUUUUGGAACCUAUUCAGGUGACAAACAAAAUACAGUUCCUGAGUAUUUCAGGUGCAAAACCAAAAUUUGUUUUUGUAAAAAAAAAAUUAAAAAAAAAAUAAAACUUGAUUUCUAUUUCUCUUCUCCAUAAAUGUAGCAUAAACAUAUGGACUAAACUAUUGCUUAGGAAAGGAAUUUGCUGUGCAGUCAUUAUCAUACCAGAAACCCAUGUGAUAAUAAAAUGCAGCUAUUUCGCAGUAAAUUUUGGACCCUGACACCAUUUAAUUUUCUUCCACUUUGGCAUAAUGCUUAUGUUUAUGAUAUAUUCACUCCUGCUACCAUCCAGGAUGCUCUGUUUACCUGAAGUGAGACUGUUCUCUCGUGCUGUGGGUAGUGAUCCCCAAAACACCACACCAGAACACUCAUACUCCCAUGUAAACCUUGGAUCAGUGAAUUCAAAGUGUCAGAAUUAACCCAAGGAAGGCACAGUUUCAUACUUGAAUGCCUUUCUGAUCCUAGCAAUGAAAAAGGAAGUUGAGUUUCUAGGUCCAGAA